CCCUCUCCCGCAUUGACUGCGCCUCCCCUUCCCUCCACUCCCUAAUCGCCUAAGAGCAACUCCAGCCCAGCAUACAAAGCCGACGCAGCGUUCUCGGGCCCGCCGGACACGCCGCCGCGCCGCUCGCUCGUCGCCGUGCUGUUCCUCUGGGAGGAGGUGCCCGGGAAGCCCAAGGAGGCGUCGCCAACGCUGGCCCCGUUCCCCAAGGCGACCACUCCUGCUCCGGCUCCGGCUGCUGCCAACAGUGGCCCCGUUCGCCAAGGCGACACUGGCGGUGAGCACGACAGCAGCGGCCACGCGCGUCCGCUGCCGCUCAAGUUGCCCCCGCGGCUGCAGCUGGUGUCAGCGUCGUUCGCCAAGACCGUGUCCCCCAAGCCCAAGGAGGCGCCGCUGUGACCUGGGGUGCCGCGCCGCCGCCGGAAGACAGUCUAAAUUCAGCAACAGUGACAGAGAAUAAAAUGGCUAAAAGGAUUGUCCUGAUUUGGAAGUAUAUCCAGAAGCAUAUCCAAACACUGCUUGACUGUCUCGGCCCUAUAUAUUUGCAAUGGCAACAUACAGUUCAAAGAUGAAAUGUGCAAGGUCAUGAAAAUUGGACUGCUCUGUGUAUCGGCCCUAUAUAUCUGAUCUUGAGAAGUUCAUUCCAGGUAGCAGUUAGCUGGGUCUGAAACACAGCAUGGUGAUUGCUAAAGCUUGUAACUGUAGUAGCCUUUUACUCUGAAUGAGAAAGUGCUGGCUGCUGUCAAUUUGUCUCUGGCAUUUUUUUUUAUGUUUAUGACUUUCCAGGUAGCAGCUAGCUAGGUCUGAAACACAGCAUGGUGAUUGCUAAAGCUUGUAACUGUAGUAGCCUUUUGCUCUGAAUGAGAAAGUGCUGGCUGCUGUCAAUUUGUCUCUGACAUUUUUUUUUAUGUUCAUCACUUGCUAGUCCCAUCAUGGGUGGGGUUCACUUUCAUUC